UAUGGCCAUAUCAAGUUGAAACACCAAUUUUCAUAUGAUCAUCAAAGUUAAGCAAUGUUGAGCCUGGUCAGUACCUGCAGUGGUGACCUCUUGGAAAUACCAGGUGCUGUAAG